UGACUUAAAGUUUUUCCAGCAGCCCAUUAUCAUAAUAAACAAAAUCAAGAAUCAUAAGUAACCCAUGAGGCCCAUGUGUAGACAUAGGAAAUAACGAGAUGAGGAGUGGAGAAAACGCUUCGUUGACUUUGAGAAGGAGGCCAGUCUGAUCCGAGUUCAAUCCAUGGAGGAGAGCAGAGAAACCCGUUCAGAGGAGCCACUGCUGCAUCAUGAUUGAAGCUGAAGUUGGGUUCUGUCCACGCAAAGAGAGAAUCCUGUCUUUCACUUGGCGAUCAAUCUGGCGGAUGAGAGAGGAGGAUGAUCUGAAUGCAUUCCGAUGAAGCCUGAAGAGCACUUUCUGUUGUACUAUACUAAAAUCAGGACGAAACUACUCUUUUGUAUGGACGCAGUUGCUUGAACGUUAUUGUGAUGGACAUAAGUGGCUGGAUGUAUACGGAUAUAAUCAUUUGUGUGGACGUCGUAAUGUGUACGACCGGUGCUGGAUGCUUGGGUGUGAUUAGCCAAAGUGAGACAAAUCCUGUGUGUUUUGCGGCAAGAAUUCCAUAAUGUUAAUUUCAUCCUACAUUUACAUAAAAAUCUCCAUAAGGAGAGGAAAAACGUAAAGUAUAAGAAAGAUGCAGAUGAAGAUUUUGACAAAUGAGUGUUUUGUGGACUGUCUUGUGGACGGGUGUCUAGUGGAAGAAUGACUUGUGGACGGGUAGCUCGUGGAUGGUGUGUUGUGGAUGCAAUUUUUGUGUGAUUUUGGAUUUGACAUACCUUUGAUAGUGAAAGAGACGGUAUUGACGCGCUAAUUGUUGGUGAUUGAACAUAACCAAUAUGGACAUAAACAAAAAAAAAAGUAAAUUAUGAACAUAAACAGAAAUGAGAGAAAGUAAAGUAGAAAUUAAAAUAAUGAGUUAAGUGUAGUUAAUAAAUUUCAGGAUAAAAGAGGAAUUCAAUUUGAAAUAAGUGUCUCACAAAUUGUAUGUGUGUAUACACUUGUAAAAAGUGUGUCCUACUGUAAAUUUCUCUUCUUUUUUUCUAAUCAGGCUUUUUAUAAGGGAA